AUGAACGUUAUCAUUUCGUUAACUCCCAAACAUCUUUCCCUCGCCCUUUGCCACUCAACUGUCUGCUCUCUCCGCCCUCUUUUUUUUUUUUUCUUUCAACAUUCUCCUCUAGAGGGCAAGCAAGCUCUACGUUCUGUUGCCAUACUUCCGUUCGCCUUCAUAUUUUUCUUGCGCGCAUGUGCACACUUCAUUUCCGGGCUGCCCUACUUUGUUUGGCACCACGCCUGCGCAAUCUCAGCCCCGCCCCCUCCACCCCGGAAAUGCUUCCUUCCUACGCAGCCGCUACAGCCACUGCAGCCGGUGGACCUUUGCCUCUCUAGGCCGGUAGGGCCUCUCCUCCAUGGUCCUGACUGUCAGCACCGUUUCGGUAGCCAGUCGGUGCGGCUGGGCCGCGCUCGGACGCUUCGGAUCCUCGAGACCGUAACCGAUCCUGGGCUUUUCCACCCCACCAGGCCGGCUCUCCACGAUGUCCUUCGUCCUCAACGCCCUCACCUGUGCCCUGGGCUUGCUGUACUUCAUCCGGCGAGGGAAGCAGUGUCUGGAUUUCACGGUCACUGUCCAUUUCUUUCACCUCCUGGGCUGCUGGCUCUACAGCUCCCGUUUCCCCUCGGCGCUGACCUGGUGGCUGGUCCAGGCCGUGUGCAUUGCGCUCAUGGCUGUCAUCGGGGAGUACCUAUGCAUGCGGUCGGAGCUCAAGGAGAUCCCCCUCAACUCAGCCCCGAAGUCCAGUGUGUAGUGUUGGGUCCUUUGGACACCCUGCUGGGCACUUGACCACCCCUCCAACCCCUUGGGCUGCUCGGACCGCCAGAUGAGGUCCAGCCCAGGCCUGAGAGGAACCUGGGAAAUGUGAAGUCUUGGUUGGUGUGGGGGAGAGAGUGAGGCCCCCGUCAAGAAGGUGGGUAGCGGGGCAGGAUCAGAGCUGCAAGAACCACCUCUGUCUGCGGAAGCCUUGGUGUCUGGGAGGUCGGCGUGGGCACCUCU
rnacentral:lncRNA from 1 species